GACGAACGCUGGCGGCGUGCUUAACACAUGCAAGUCGAACGGAAAGGCCCUGCUUUUGUGGGGUGCUCGAGUGGCGAACGGGUGAGUAACACGUGAGUAACCUGCCCUUGACUUUGGGAUAACUUCAGGAAACUGGGGCUAAUACCGGAUAGGAGCUCCUGCUGCAUUGUGGGGGUUGGAAAGUUUCGGCGGUUGGGGAUGGACUCGCGGCUUAUCAGCUUGUUGGUGGGGUAGUGGCUUACCAAGGCUUUGACGGGUCGCCGGCCUGAGAGGGUGACCGGCCACAAUGGGCCUGAGAGAGGGCCCAGACUCCUACGGGAGGCAGCAGUGGGGAAUAUUGCACAAUGGGAGGAAGCCUGAUGCAGAAACGCCGCGUGCGGGAAGACGGCCUUCGGGUUGUAAACCGCUUUCGCCUGUGACGAAGCGUGAGUGACGGUAAUGGGUAAAGAAGCACCGGCUAACUACGUG
rnacentral:rRNA from 1 species